rnacentral:pre_miRNA from 1 species
AACCUUCACUGUCUGGCAAGCCCCCAGGCUGGCCUGGGCGAGUAUCUCUUUGAAAGACUCGCCCUGAAGCACAACUAGAGGC